AGAUUUUUGGAGACUGCAUAUGUUUCUCAAGAUGUCGAAGAUUUUUCAGACCAGAAGUGUCCUGAGUCUUACAAUUAUUCAAUUUUCAGGUUUUUGCUAGCGAUCUUACAUGUGGUUUUUUUAGAGAUUGGAGAAGCUACAAUCUAAGAAUGAGGAAGAGGUCGAUCGUGUCUUUUUUGUUCCGUUUCUCCCUUAUGUUUCUUCUUCAGAUCUAGCUGCGAUAUUAUUCAUUUGUAGUUCUCGAUAACACUUCCAUGUAUAUCGCUUGAUUCGAAUUCAGUAUUGGUUGUCGCCCAAGUCUCUCUGUUUGUAAUUUUUGCAGGCCCUGGACAAAAAUUAGGAUCUAUAACCACUAAAAAAGACGCAUCAGCCGAGACAAAACUGCUAAGCCAUGAAAUCCAGGUCUAAUUCAGUAUUUUUAUCGAUCAAAAUUCAAGCGAUGGUUUUGAACCAAUUGGUUGUGUUCAUACUUCAUACUCUGAUGUUAAACUCCGUCUGUGGUCAUGGUGAAUCACUAGAUCUUUCCAUCACAAGUGGAGUACCGUUUUUAUUAUGAUUUACAUUGCAGGAAAAUGGUUUAGGGAAAAAAUUGUAUAAAUAGUGAACUUUUUUCUAUCUUGGUGACUCCUCAGUCCGAAGUGUUACAUGAUACAUGGCGUGACUAUAAGCUUUGUAUAAACGUUGCUACAAUGUUUUGAUUUUUGAUUUUUGUGUAACUCAUAAGCUUUGUACUAUAAACCUUGCUACUUGGUUUCGA